rnacentral:rRNA from 1 species
AUUGAACGCUGGCGGCAUGCCUAACACAUGCAAGUCGAACGGGGGCAGCAAUGCCCUAGUGGCGGACGGGUGAGGAAUACGUAGGAACCGGCCCACGAGUGGGGGACAACCUGGGGAAACCCAGGCUAAUACCGCAUACGCUCGCGAGAGGAAAGCGGGGGGACCUUCGGGCCUCGCGCUGGUGGACGGGCCUACGUCCGAUUAGCUAGUUGGUGGGGUAAAAAGCCUACCAAGGCGACGAUCGGUAGCUGGUCUGAGAGGAUGAUCAGCCACACUGGGACUGAGACACGGCCCAGACUCCUACGGGAGGCAGCAGUGGGGGAAUAUUGGACAAUGGGCGCAAGCCUGAUCCAGCAAUGCCGCGUGGGUGAAGAAGGCCUGGGCGGUUGGUAAAGCCCUUUAAGCGGGGAGGGAAAGACC